rnacentral:rRNA from 1 species
CCUACGGGAGGCUGCAGUGAGGAAUAUUGGUCAAUGGGCGAGAGCCUGAACCAGCCAAGUCGCGUGAGGGAGUACUGCCCUAUGGGUUGUAAACCUCUUUUGUCGGGGAGCAAAAGCCGGACGUGUUCGGCUGUGAGAGUACCCGCAGAAAAAGCAUCGGCUCACUCCGCGCCAGCAGCCGCGGUAAUACGGAGGAUGCGAGCGUUAUCCGGAUGUAUUGGGGUUAAAGGGGGCGCAGGCGGGUAUUUAAGUCAGCGGUCAAAUCGUGGGGCUCAACCCCAUCCAGCCGUUGAAACUGGGGAUCUAGAGUGUGCGAGAGGUAUGCGGAAUGCGUGGUGUAGCGGUGAAAUGCAUAGAUAUCACGCAGAACCCUGAUUGCGAAGGCAGCAUACCGGUGCACAACUGACGCUCAGGCACGAAAGCGUGGGUAUCGAACAGGAUUAGAUACCCCGGUAGUC